GACGAACGCUGGCGGCGUGCCUAAUACAUGCAAGUCGAGCGAGCGGAACCAACAGAUUUACUUCGGUAAUGACGUUGGGAAAGCGAGCGGCGGAUGGGUGAGUAACACGUGGGGAACCUGCCCCUAAGUCUGGGAUACCAUUUGGAAACAGGUGCUAAUACCGGAUAAUAAAGCAGAUCGCAUGAUCAGCUUUUGAAAGGCGGCGUAAGCUGUCGCUAAGGGAUGGCCCCGCGGUGCAUUAGCCGGUUGGCGGGGUAACGGCCCACCAAAGCAACGAUCGGUAGCCGGACUGAGAGGUUGAACGGCCACAUUGGGACUGAGACACGGCCCAG
rnacentral:rRNA from 1 species